rnacentral:lncRNA from 1 species
GAGUUACAGAACUCUAAGAAAAGGGUCAUGGAAAAAAAAUCCUUCAUAGAGGAAUAACUGAGUCAAAGCUGAGAUGAAGUUUUAAAUACAGAGAAGGAUCCAAAUAUCCUGACAGGAGCACAUGACUCUGAAGGCUGGACUAAUUUAAAUGGCAUGAAAGGUUCUAAUUUACUAGCCACGCCUGACUUCAGUGGCCUAACAUUGCAAGCCUGAGAAAACUAACAUCAG